rnacentral:misc_RNA from 1 species
GAAGCUUAUGUGAGUAUUUUAAUUUAUGCUUCUUCAAUCUGUCUCUUUGUUUGAGUCAGUGUAGCAUUAUUUGAUAAUGAAGGUGUAGUUUCAGAUUGAUCCUCAAAGAUUUGGUUAAAGAACGUGUUAAUAUUUUUUACAUGUCUAAAUCAUUUUGAUUUCUUGGUUAUCAUGCCUGAUAUAUUGCCCCUUGGAUCCAGUAAUUGUUAGGAAUGAUAUGACUGUCAAAAAUCAAACAUCUCCAGUUAUAAUUGGCAAUUCUGUGAUCUCAUCACUGCAGUAUGAGUAUCUGCAUUUGUUUGUACCAUUAAAAAAAUAUUUGGUUUCAGAUAUUUAUAGUGAUACGAUUUAAACAUAAUUAGAUGAUCUUAUGGUACUUCAAAAAAAAAAAAA